rnacentral:rRNA from 2 species
CGUUCUGUAAGCCUGCGAAGGUGGCCUGUGAGGGUUGCUGGAGGUAUCAGAAGUGCGAAUGCUGACAUAAGUAACGAUAAAGCGGGUGAAAAGCCCGCUCGCCGGAAGACCAAGGGUUCCUGUCCAACGUUAAUCGGGGCAGGGUGAGUCGACCCCUAAGGCGAGGCCGAAAGGCGUAGUCGAUGGGAAACGGGUUAAUAUUCCCGUACUUGGUGUUACUGCGAAGGGGGGACGGAGAAGGCUAUGUUGGCCGGGCGACGGUUGUCCCGGUUUAAGCGUGUAGGUGUGUGUUCCAGGUAAAUCCGGUUCACUUUAACACUGAGGCGUGAUGACGAGGCACUACGGUGCUGAAGCAACAAAUGCCCUGCUUCCAGGAAAAGCCUCUAAGCAUCAGGUAACAUCAAAUCGUACCCCAAACCGACACAGGUGGUCAGGUAGAGAAUACCAAGGCGCUUGAGAGAACUCGGGUGAAGGAACUAGGCAAAAUGGUGCCGUAACUUCGGGAGAAGGCACGCUGACACGUAGGUGAAGUGAUUUACUCAUGGAGCUGAAGUCAGUCGAAGAUACCAGCUGGCUGCAACUGUUUAUUAAAAACACAGCACUGUGCAAACACGAAAGUGGACGUAUACGGUGUGACGCCUGCCCGGUGCCGGAAGGUUAAUUGAUGGGGUCAGCGCAAGCGAAGCUCCUGAUCGAAGCCCCGGUAAACGGCGGCCGUAACUAUAACGGUCCUAAGGUAGCGAAAUUCCUUGUCGGGUAAGUUCCGACCUGCACGAAUGGCGUAAUGAUGGCCAGGCUGUCUCCACCCGAGACUCAGUGAAAUUGAACUCGCUGUGAAGAUGCAGUGUACCCGCGGCAAGACGGAAAGACCCCGUGAACCUUUACUAUAGCUUGACACUGAACAUUGAGCCUUGAUGUGUAGGAUAGGUGGGAGGCUUUGAAGUGUGGACGCCAGUCUGCAUGGAGCCGGCCUUGAAAUACCACCCUUUAAUGUUUGAUGUUCUAACGUGGACCCGUGAUCCGGGUUGCGGACAGUGUCUGGUGGGUAGUUUGACUGGGGCGGUCUCCUCCUAAAGAGUAACGGAGGAGCACGAAGGUUGGCUAAUCCUGGUCGGACAUCAGGAGGUUAGUGCAAUGGCAUAAGCCAGCUUGACUGCGAGCGUGACGGCGCGAGCAGGUGCGAAAGCAGGUCAUAGUGAUCCGGUGGUUCUGAAUGGAAGGGCCAUCGCUCAACGGAUAAAAGGUACUCCGGGGAUAACAGGCUGAUACCGCCCAAGAGUUCAUAUCGACGGCGGUGUUUGGCACCUCGAUGUCGGCUCAUCACAUCCUGGGGCUGAAGUAGGUCCCAAGGGUAUGGCUGUUCGCCAUUUAAAGUGGUACGCGAGCUGGGUUUAGAACGUCGUGAGACAGUUCGGUCCCUAUCUGCCGUGGGCGCUGGAGAACUGAGGGGGGCUGCUCCUAGUACGAGAGGACCGGAGUGGACGCAUCACUGGUGUUCGGGUUGUCAUGCCAAUGGCACUGCCCGGUAGCUAAAUGCGGAAGAGAUAAGUGCUGAAAGCAUCUAAGCACGAAACUUGCCCCGAGAUGAGUUCUCCCUGAGACUUUAGGUCUCCUGAAGGAACGUUGAAGACGACGACGUUGAUAGGCCGGGUGUGUAAGCGCAGCGAUGCGUUGAGCUAACCGGUACUAAUGAACCGUGAGGCUUAACCUUACA